rnacentral:rRNA from 1 species
GAUGAACGCUGACAGAAUGCUUAACACAUGCAAGUCAACUUGAACUUCGGUUUGGGUGGCGGACGGGUGAGUAACGCGUAAAGAACUUGCCUCACAGAUAGGGACAACAUUUGGAAACGAAUGCUAAUACCUGAUAUUAUGAUUUUAGGGCAUCCUAGGAUUAUGAAAGCUAUAUGCGCUGUGAGAGAGCUUUGCGUCCCAUUAGCUAGUUGGAGAGGUAACGGCUCACCAAGGCGAUGAUGGGUAGCCGGCCUGAGAGGGUGAUCGGCCACAAGGGGACUGAGACACGGCCCUUACUCCUACGGGAGGCAGCAGUGGGGAAUAUUGGACAAUGGACCAAGAGUCUGAUCCAGCAAUUCUGUGUGCACGAUGAAGUUUUCGGAAUGUAAAGUGCUUUCAGUUGGGAAGAAAAAAAUGACGGUACCAACAGAAGAAGUGACGGCUAAAUACGUGCCAGCAGCCGCGGUAAUACGUAUGUCACAAGCGUUAUCCGGAUUUAUUGGGCGUAAAGCGCGUCUAGGUGGUUAUAUAAGCCUGAUGUGAAAAUGCAGGGCUCAACUCUGUAUUGCGUUGGAAACUGUGUAACUAGAGUACUGGAGAGGUAAGCGGAACUACAAGUGUAGAGGUGAAAUUCGUAGAUAUUCGUAGGAAUGCCGAUGGGGAAGCCAGCUUACUGGACAGAUACUGACACUGAGGCACGAAAGCGUGGGUAGCAAACAGG